UACGUAGGGUGCAAGCGUUGUCCGGAAUUAUUGGGCGUAAAGAGCUCGUAGGCGGUCUGUCGCGUCGGAUGUGAAAAUCCAGGGCUCAACCCUGGACCUGCAUUCGAUACGGGCAGACUAGAGUUCGGCAGGGGAGACUGGAAUUCCUGGUGUAGCGGUGAAAUGCGCAGAUAUCAGGAGGAACACCGGUGGCGAAGGCGGGUCUCUGGGCCGAUACUGACGCUGAGGAGCGAAAGCGUGGGGAGCGAUCCGG
rnacentral:rRNA from 1 species